rnacentral:lncRNA from 1 species
AGAUAAAAUUGUUGGAUUACAACAACAGAUAUUACAUGAGGAACAUCAUCCAAAUGUGAUGCAUAAUCUAAACAUUUUCUUGAUAACAAAACUCGAACCAAAAGCGUCCAUCAACAUCCCUGCAACUUAACUAAAAAUUAACCGAGGAACAUCAUCCCUACAACUAAACUAAAAUUGAAAUCAUCGAACAUCAUCAUCAUGAACAGGGACAUCAUCAUCACCACCACCAUCAGCAUACUUGCCACACACCCAUAUAAUCAUCCAUUUAUCUUUUGAAUCUACGAACAAAAAACAAAAUGAACUGUUAAUACACAAUGCAUUGACAUGAUUAAUGUAGUGAUAGAUGAAGGAUGUUAGCCACAUACAAAGGUUGAAGGCCAUGCAAUCUUUGUUUUUUUCUGCAUUACCAAGAGUAGCAGUUUUCGCAACUUCGUACCAAAUCUUAGGUUUUCGUAAGAUCCAUAUCGACAUGCACUGCCCAGAAUUCAUUUGAAAGUUCAACACCAUCAAGUUUAAAUUUAGGAUCACAACUUACAACUGUAGGAAGAGCUAUGUCUCCAUUUUGAUUUUCAGGCUCUUCAAGAGUACUUUAGUUCCUGCCUGUUAGAAAAAAUCAAAGUCAUCACGGGAUCAAAUUGAAAGAACUCGUAAAGGAAUUACAAGAGCUUCAUCAAUUGCUAUUAUAGUCCCUCCAUAUGGAAAAUGAAAGGAGAAUAGUCCUAAGUAAGGCUGCUGAAACUACACAUCAAAUAACUUUCUUAAUGUAAUAGUAAUUAGAGAACAUGUAAUACAUUUUGAAAAUCUCGCAGCUAGUCAUUUUAUGUCAUGGAUUCAGAAGAAAAAAAAGAUUGACACUAUGGGACGAUAAAACUGGAAACUCGAAACAAAAUAUUCCAAGGAAUAUUUAGAAGGGACCAUAUAUCUAUGUUUCUGUAGAAAGAGGUGUUUUGGCUCCUGUAUAUGGGAUGAACACAUAAAAGGAGGACAUUUAUUUUGUUUUGGUGAUACACAACAAAUCCAUUGAAAUGCUCUAUACAUAACACAAAACAGAUGACUGGUUUUCCUUUUGGAUAACACAAAAGAAGUGACUGGUUUUUCCUUCUCGUCUAUAUAAUUUUUACACUAUAUAAUGCGAGGCAGACAACAAUGCAUAUGUACACUAUAUAAUGCGAGUAAUAAGAAAUUGUCCUAAAAAACAAAUCUGCAGUCCAGUACGUACAUGUAUAAAAUAGAAUUGUAUGAAGCCAAUACCUACACACUUGGAGACACGGGAUGCAGCCAAAGCGCUGAUGAGAAGCACAUUCAGCCAUUAUACGUCUACGGUGGGGGCUCUCAACUUGAUUAUCCUCUUCAUCGCCUGGCCUUUCGCCAGGUAAUUUGUAAUGAUGUGCUCAGUGAGCUUCCUUUUUUUUGCUACAGACCUUUUCCUAUUAUGUGAAAUUGGAAGCAUAGCGGUUAAGAGGUUACACACUUUUAACAAGAAUCAGAAGCAUACAACAUGAGUCUUUCCUUUAGUAUAUAUUCCAUUAUAUGAGAAUGGAAAUACAUGUAUGCAAGGCCAUAUUUUGUGCUUAACAAGAUUAAUAGAGACUGAACUUAUCUGCUCACAAUGCGUGCCUAGUAACUACAUGUGUAUGUAUAACAUAUAUAUGACAACAUACAAUUUAGUAUCAUGGAUUCAGUCGACAAAUUACAAAAAUCAGAUCUUAAUUACAUAACAGCUCUUCCUAAGCAAGUUCUAGCUCCAUACAUCGGAUGCAUGAACUUCAAAAAAAUAAGCAACAAAUAUGUUCUUAAUUAUUUAGUACAUCUGUUUAACAAAAGAACGACAUUAAAAGAAAUCAAGCAGAAAAAAAUAUGAGGAAAGAGGAACUUAGCAUCAUUUUUUGAUCUCGCGUGUAUUUUCAAAUAAAUACUGCCAUGGUGCCACCUUAACCUCCUGAUGCAUAUACCUCCAGGUCUUCAACAACACUAUCCAGAAAUUCCAU